AUUGAACGCUGGCGGCAGGCCUAACACAUGCAAGUCGAACGAGAGGCGGACGGGAGAGUAAUGUCUGGGAAACUGCCUGAUGGGGGGGGAUAACUACUGGAAACGGUAGCUAAUACCGCAUACCAUCAGAUGGGCCGAGAUGGGAUUAGCUAGUUGGUGGGGGAACGGCUCACCAAGGCGACGAUCCGUAGCUGGCCGGAGAGGAUGAGCAGCCACACUGGAACUGAGACACGGUCCAGACUCCUACGGGAGGCAGCAGUGGGGAAUAUUGCACAAUGGGCGCAAGCCUGAUGAAGCAAUGCCGCGUGUAUGAAGAAGGCCUUCGGGUUGUAAAGUACUUUCAGCGGGGAGGCGUUACCCACAGAAGAAGCACCGGCUAACUCCGUGCCAGCAGCCGCGGUAAUUC
rnacentral:rRNA from 1 species